AGAUCACCGAUGUCGCGACGGCAACAGAAAUUAUGACUGAUCCGACUGUAGUGGAGACGCUUGCGGGACGCACAUUCAUGGUAACUUGGAAGGACAAGGAACCCCCAGCAGAAGCCUAUAUUAUAGCUGCAGGAGAACUAUCAAAAAUGGAGCGGCGUCGAAACAGGUUGGCAGCGCGAGCAUCGACCCAGGCAUCACAGCAGGUCAACUGCUGCAACCACGUUGACCAAGUAA